rnacentral:rRNA from 1 species
AGAGUUUGAUCAUGGCUCAGGAUGAACGCUAGCGAUAGGCUUAACACAUGCAAGUCGAGGGGCAGCAUUUUGUAGCAAUACGAAGAUGGCGACCGGCGCACGGGUGAGUAACACGUAUGCAACCUACCCAUAACCGGAGGAUAGCCCGUUGAAAGACGGAUUAAUACUCCAUAACACAGGGAUACCGCCUGGUAUUAUUUGUUAAAGAUUUAUUGGUUAUGGAUGGGCCUGCGUUCCAUUAGCUAGUUGGUAGGGUAACGGCCUACCAAGGCGACGAUGGAUAGGGGAACUGAGAGGUUUGUCCCCCACACUGGUACUGAGACACGGACCAGACUCCUACGGGAGGCAGCAGUGAGGAAUAUUGGUCAAUGGGCGAGAGCCUGAACCAGCCAAAUCGCGUGAAGGAUGACGGUAUUAUGUAUUGUAAACUUCUUUUUUAAGGGAAUAAAGUGCACCACGUGUGGUGUUUUGUAUGUACCUUACGAAUAAGCAUCGGCUAACUCCGUGCCAGCAGCCGCGGUAAUACGGAGGAUGCGAGCGUUAUCCGGAUUUAUUGGGUUUAAAGGGUGCGUAGGCGGACUGGUCAGUCAGCGGUGAAAUCUCGAGGCUUAACUUCGAAACUGCCGUUGAAACUGCUAGUCUUGAGUGUGAACGAGGUAGGCGGAAUUCGUGGUGUAGCGGUGAAAUGCUUAGAUAUCACGAAGAACUCCGAUAGCGCAGGCAGCUUACCAGGCCACAACUGACGCUGAGGCACGAAAGUGUGGGUAUCAAACAGGAUUAGAUACCCUGGUAGUCCACACAGUAAACGAUGAAUACUAACUGUUUGCGAUAUACAGUAAGCGGUACAGCGAAAGCGUUAAGUAUUCCACCUGGGGAGUACGCCGGCAACGGUGAAACUCAAAGGAAUUGACGGGGGCCUGCACAAGCGGAGGAACAUGUGGGUUUAAUUCGAUGAUACGCGAGGAACCUUACUCGGGCUC